rnacentral:rRNA from 1 species
UACGAAGGGGGCUAGCGUUGUUCGGAAUUACUGGGCGUAAAGGGCGCGUAGGCGGUGUGUCAAGUCAGGCGUGAAAGCCCCCGGCUCAACUGGGGAGGGUCAUUCGAUACUGAUCGACUCGAAGGCAGGAGAGGGUAGUGGAAUUCCCGGUGUAGUGGUGAAAUGCGUAGAUAUCGGGAGGAACACCAGUGGCGAAGGCGACUACCUGGCCUGUUCUUGACGCUGAGGCGCGAAAGCUAGGGGAGCAAACGGG